CAGAACAAUCAUGUUAUUCUUCUUUGUAUUGAUAAAUGUCAAAAAUAUUGCAGGUGCUGUUGACAGCAGAAUUACACCAGACCAAACCACCAUAUCUUCAAGUCAAGGCAGCAACAUCACACUGACCUGCACAUAUGAUCAAUCAGCUUACUAUCUCCACUGGUAUCGACAAGAACCUCAAUCAGAACCAGAGUUUCUGCUGCUGAUUCAUGAAUCCACAGAUAGUGACACUAGAACUAAACAUAAGCUUGACCCACGACUAGCCAUCAAACUUAGUAAAAACGAGAAGAAAGUAGAUCUGGAGAUUUUUCCUGCAGCAGUAUCAGACUCUGCACUGUACUACUGCGCCAUGGAGCCCACAGUGACACAAAACUCUAACAGACUGUACAAAAAGUCAAGCUUUAUAUUUGUUUCUCAGCAGGUGGAGCUGUUUAUCUGUUUCAUUUAAAAACAGUUUUCUUUCUUAAUUCUCAGACUUUGAUGUUUAUUUGCUUU